CUCAAGUGACAUGACUGAGGUCUGCAUACUAGUGAUGGGGGCUGGCACUUCAUCUCAUAACAUUGAAAGAAAAAGCAUUUCCCCCCUCAGUCUUUGUUGAAUUUCUCUGAUGCGUCUUGAUUUACGUUACUUCUGUGCCGGAAAACCUUCUUGCGCCUUCCAUCACCUUCAGGAUUAAGUUCAGAUUGGGCAUGCCAGUUUGCACAUGAUCUGGCCCUUGCCUACCUUUCCAGUUUAUCUUCCACUGUAUAUCCCUCCUUCCCCGCCUUCCCCCUCACGGCCUUACCUCUGUUCUCUGUAGCUGCCCUGCACCUGCCUGUUCACCCUGUUCCCUUUCCUGUGCUCUGAGUCGUGCAGUCAGUCCUUCAAGGCCCAUUGCAAGUCAUAUCUACAAAACAGGAGCCGCCUGGAUCCGCCCACUACCCCCAGGACUUGUCUCACCUUCCUCUGAUGGCCAUGGUACUGAAAGCGUCUGCUCUCAUCGUCCCCCUUUAUAGUCUAAACAUGUUUUCUGUCUGCUUCCACCAUCACUGAAUUACUCAUUUAUUUGUUAAUGUUUCAUCUCUCCAACUGGACUGCCAGAAAGUUGAGAUAUGGGCCCAAAUCUGAUUAAUGUUUGCAGUCCCCAAGCACAGUAGCUGUCAUGUCAAAGAGUAAAAUGAAGUACAUUCUGGUUACUGGUGGUGUUAUAUCAGGAAUUGGAAAAGGAAUCAUUGCCAGCAGUGUGGGCACAAUACUCAAGUCAUGUGGUUUACAUGUAACUUCAAUCAAAAUUGACCCCUACAUUAACAUUGAUGCAGGAACAUUCUCUCC
rnacentral:sRNA from 1 species